GGUUCGUUGGUGUAGUUGGUUAUCACAUCUGUCUCACAUUUUCGGCUGUAAUUGUCAAAAUGUACACAGGAGGUCCUGAGUUCGAUCCUCAGUCGAACCA